CUUUUAUUCUUUAUUCAGAUUGGAUAUCUGCAGUUUUUCAGAGACCAGCUGGACGUCUCUGUUCUCAGCUCUGAAGUCCAAACCGACCCAUCUGACAGAACUGGAGAUUAGAGAAACCAACCUGGGAGAUUCUGGAGUGAAGAAGCUCUGUGGUUUUCUACAGACUGAAGGCUGCAGACUGGAGAAUCUGGAAUUGUUCAGCUGCAGUUUGUCAAAGAUCAGCUGUGAUUUUCUGGCCUCAGCUCUGAAGUCCAACAGCCUCCAUCUGACAAAACUGAACCUGA